AUGUUCAGCCCUUUUACUCCCAAGAAAACCAAGCUCGAACUCUUCUUCAAAUCUUAUACAAGAAGCCUUUACCAAAAGUUAGACUAAGUGAAAUAAUUGAUACUCCAAGCGGGAAGUAAAGAAGAUUUUGAAGUAUUGGCAAAGGAGGGAUUCAAUUCCUACAUAAUCAAGCUCAGAGCAAGAUUUCAACUAUAAUAGCAAGCAAAAAUAGAAGGCAAGUUAUGUUUUAUUGGCAAAAUUCAUAAAAUUUGAGUAAAUAAUAGUUAUUAAUUGUUAUGAUUGGUUGUGGGAGGUUGUAUUAUUG
rnacentral:lncRNA from 1 species